AAAGGAAUUGACGGGGACCCGCACAAGCGGUGGAUGAUGUGGUUUAAUUCGAUGCAACGCGAAAAACCUUACCCACCUUUGACAUGUACGGAAGAUUUAAGAGAUUAGAUUGUGCUCGAAAGAGAACCGUAACACAGGUGCUGCAUGGCUGUCGUCAGCUCGUGUCGUGAGAUGUUGGGUUAAGUCCCGCAACGAGCGCAACCCUUGUCAUUAGUUGCUACAUUUAGUUGGGCACUCUAAUGAGACUGCCGGUGACAAACCGGAGGAAGGUGGGGAUGACGUCAAGUCCUCAUGGCCCUUAUAGGUGGGGCUACACACGUCAUACAAUGGCUGGUACAGAGGGUUGCCAACCCGCGAGGGGGAGCUAAUCCCAUAAAACCAGUCGUAGUCCGGAUCGCAGUCUGCAACUCGACUGCGUGAAGUCGGAAUCGCUAGUAAUCGUGGAUCAGAAUGUCACGGUGAAUACGUUCCCGGGUCUUGUACACACCGCCCGU
rnacentral:rRNA from 1 species